rnacentral:rRNA from 1 species
CGUAUCACCCAAGACAACUUUACGGAGUUGACGAUUGACGGAGCGAAGCGACGUCAAAGCGUUCAUUAAAGUCGAGUUGGCUUAGGGAUACGUUCGUUGGGUAGGGGAGCGUUCUGUAAGCCUGUGAAGGUGUGUCGUGAGGCAUGCUGGAGGUAUCAGAAGUGCGAAUGCUGACAUAAGUAACGAUAAAGCGGGUGAAAAGCCCGCUCGCCGGAAGACCAAGGGUUCCUGUCCAACGUUAAUCGGGGCAGGGUGAGUCGACCCCUAAGGCGAGGCCGAAAGGCGUAGUCGAUGGGAAACGGGUUAAUAUUCCCGUACUUGGUGUUACUGCGAAGGGGGGACGGAGAAGGCUAUGUUGGCCGGGCGACGGUUGUCCCGGUUUAAGCGUGUAGGUGUGUGUUCCAGGUAAAUCCGGUUCACUUUAACACUGAGGCGUGAUGACGAGGCACUACGGUGCUGAAGCAACAAAUGCCCUGCUUCCAGGAAAAGCCUCUAAGCAUCAGGUAACAUCAAAUCGUACCCCAAACCGACACAGGUGGUCAGGUAGAGAAUACCAAGGCGCUUGAGAGAACUCGGGUGAAGGAACUAGGCAAAAUGGUGCCGUAACUUCGGGAGAAGGCACGCUGACACGUAGGUGAAGUGAUUUACUCACGGAGCUGAAGUCAGUCGAAGAUACCAGCUGGCUGCAACUGUUUAUUAAAAACACAGCACUGUGCAAACACGAAAGUGGACGUAUACGGUGUGACGCCUGCCCGGUGCCGGAAGGUUAAUUGAUGGGGUCAGCGCAAGCGAAGCUCCUGAUCGAAGCCCCGGUAAACGGCGGCCGUAACUAUAACGGUCCUAAGGUAGCGAAAUUCCUUGUCGGGUAAGUUCCGACCUGCACGAAUGGCGUAAUGAUGGCCAGGCUGUCUCCACCCGAGACUCAGUGAAAUUGAACUCGCUGUGAAGAUGCAGUGUACCCGCGGCAAGACGGAAAGACCCCGUGAACCUUUACUAUAGCUUGACACUGAACAUUGAGCCUUGAUGUGUAGGAUAGGUGGGAGGCUUUGAAGUGUGGACGCCAGUCUGCAUGGAGCCGACCUUGAAAUACCACCCUUUAAUGUUUGAUGUUCUAACGUGGACCCGUAAUCCGGGUUGCGGACAGUGUCUGGUGGGUAGUUUGACUGGGGCGGUCUCCUCCUAAAGAGUAACGGAGGAGCACGAAGGUUGGCUAAUCCUGGUCGGACAUCAGGAGGUUAGUGCAAUGGCAUAAGCCAGCUUGACUGCGAGCGUGACGGCGCGAGCAGGUGCGAAAGCAGGUCAUAGUGAUCCGGUGGUUCUGAAUGGAAGGGCCAUCGCUCAACGGAUAAAAGGUACUCCGGGGAUAACAGGCUGAUACCGCCCAAGAGUUCAUAUCGACGGCGGUGUUUGGCACCUCGAUGUCGGCUCAUCACAUCCUGGGGCUGAAGUAGGUCCCAAGGGUAUGGCUGUUCGCCAUUUAAAGUGGUACGCGAGCUGGGUUUAGAACGUCGUGAGACAGUUCGGUCCCUAUCUGCCGUGGGCGCUGGAGAACUGAGGGGGGCUGCUCCUAGUACGAGAGGACCGGAGUGGACGCAUCACUGGUGUUCGGGUUGUCAUGCCAAUGGCACUGCCCGGUAGCUAAAUGCGGAAGAGAUAAGUGCUGAAAGCAUCUAAGCACGAAACUUGCCCCGAGAUGAGUUCUCCCUGAGACUUAGAGUCUCCUGAAGGAACGUUGAAGACGACGACGUUGAUAGGCCGGGUGUGUAAGCGCAGCGAUGCGUUGAGCUAACCGGUACUAAUGAACCGUGAGGCUUAACCUUACA